ensembl:lncRNA
CAAAACAAUGUUUAUGAAAUGACCAUCAUGUGAAAUGAUAAUGAAACAUGCUAUCAGCCCUGGUUAGAAAUCAAUGCAAAUGUGUCAUGUGGGGAAAUUCUCAGCUCCAAGCUCCUCAUCAACACCGUUUCCCUGUAUGGAAUGCUCUUGUCAUCACUCAGAGAGAAAUUGUACAACCAUCAUGGCUCCGGAGAUGAAUCUGGGCUGAUCUGUCAAACUGCGGUUUAGGAGACACUCACCAAUCGAACGCGGUGAGAACCUUGAUGACUCUACCUGUGGAUGAGGAUGCGGUCUACACUAUCUCUCUGUGGAGGAGAAGGGGAGGGCAGGGGCCUGAGAGCCCGGGUAGGCAGGAUGAAGAGACUGCUGUGCCUUCGACACGCCCACCGUGUGGAUGUCCUGACGGACAUGGAGCCGGGGCUCUGGCUGAGGCGCUUCCAGCUGCUGGACACAGACGUCAC